ACCCUGGCGGCGAGCGGCGAACGGGUGAGUAAUGUAUCGGAACGUACCCAGUCGUGGGGGAUAACUAUCCGAAAGGAUAGCUAAUACCGCAUACGACCUGAGGGUGAAAGCGGGGGACCUGCAAGGGCCUCGCGCGAUUGGAGCGGCCGAUAUCGGAUUAGCUAGUUGGUGAGGUAAAGGCUCACCAAGGCGACGAUCCGUAGCUGGUCUGAGAGGACGACCAGCCACACUGGAACUGAGACACGGUCCAGACUCCUACGGGAGGCAGCAGUGGGGAAUUUUGGACAAUGGGGGCAACCCUGAUCCAGCCAUUCCGCGUGAGUGAAGAAGGCCUUCGGGUUGUAAAGCUCUUUCAGCAGGAACGAAACGGUGGUUCCUAAUACGGACUGCUAAUGACGGUACCUGAAGAAGAAGCACCGGCUAACUACGUGCCAGCAGCCGCGGUAAUACGUAGGGUGCGAGCGUUAAUCGGAAUUACUGGGGCGUAAAGCGUGCGCAGGCGGUUAUGUAAGACAGGUGUGAAAUCCCCGGGCUUAACCUGGGAAACUGCGCUUGUGACUGCAUAACUUGAGUGUGGCAGAGGGGGUG
rnacentral:rRNA from 1 species